UACAGAGGUCCCAAGCGUUGUUCGGAUUCAUUGGGCGUAAAGGGUGCGUAGGCGGCGCGGUAAGUCGGGUGUGAAAUCUCGGAGCUUAACUCCGAAACUGCAUUCGAUACUGCCGUGCUUGAGGACUGGAGAGGAGACUGGAAUUUACGGUGUAGCGGUGAAAUGCGUAGAUAUCGUAAGGAAGACCAGUGGCGAAGGCGGGUCUCUGGACAGUUCCUGACGCUGAGGUACGAAAGCGUGGGGAGCAAACAGG
rnacentral:rRNA from 1 species